rnacentral:rRNA from 1 species
GACGAACGCUGGCGGCGUGCUUAACACAUGCAAGUCGAACGGAAAGGCCCUGCUUUUGUGGGGUGCUCGAUUGGCGAACGGGUGAGUAACACGUGAGUAACCUGCCCUUGACUUUGGGAGAACUUCAGGAAACUGGGGCUAAUACCGGAUAUGAUCUCCUGCUGCAUGUGGGUGGUUGGAAAGUUUCGGCGGUUGGGGAUGGACUCGCUGGUUAUCAGCUUGUUGGUGGGGUAGUUGCUUCCCAAGGCUUUGAGGGGUAGCCGGCAUGAGAGGGUUAACGGGCACAUUGGGCCUGCGGUAGGCAGCAGUAGGGAAUGGGCGGCAGUGGUGGGAAGCAUGGCGGAGCGGCGCGGCGCGUGAGGCGGAAGUCUUGGGUGCGGAAUACUCUCUUACGGGUUGAGAACAAAUUUCGAAGGAACUGAGCAGGGCGUGACGGUACUGGAUAAGAAAGCCCCGGCUAACUACGUG